UUUUUUUAACCUAAAGCUGGUGGUGUUUAGCCAAAAGGGGCCAGUUUUUAACCAAAAGGAGGCAAAUUUUUAACUUAAAAAGGCGUUUUUUUUUUUAACCUAAAACUGGUGGUUUUUAGCCAAAAGGGGCCAGUUUUUAGCCAAAAGAGGCCGUUUUUUAGCCAAAAGGGGCGUAUUUUUAACCUAAAGGUGGAGUUUAUUUACCUAAAAGGGGCAUUUUUUAAUCUAAAGGGGCUGUGUUUUUUGUUUUUUUUUGUUUUUUUAACCUAAAGGAUCUUUUUUUUUUUUAGCCCAAAGGGGGGAGUUUUUAAGCAAAAGGGGGUCGUGUUUUUUUAACCUAAAGUGGGGGCGUUUUUAACCUAAAGCAGGUGGUUUUUAACCUAAAAGGGCUUUAACAAAAUGCACGUUUGGGGAGGGGCACCCUGUGCGAGGCGUGCUGUCCCUGACCCCCCCCCUUCUGUCCCUGACCCCCCCCUUCUGUCCCUGACCCCCCCCUUCUGUCCCUGACCCCCCCCUUCUGUCCCUGACCCCAUCUCUGUCCUGCAGAGCCUCUCGCCCCAGGAGCGGGCUGCCUACAAGGAGCACACCUCCAACAAACGCAAGAGCAUAGGGAAGAUCCGAGGCCCCAACCCCAAGAUGAAGCCCACCAUGCAGUCCAAGUCGGAGUCAGAGGACGACGAUGACGAGGAAGAGGAGGAGGAGGAUGAUGAUGAAGAUGAAGACGACGACGAUGACAACGGGGACUCGUCGGAGGAAGGCGGCGACUCCUCGGAGUCCAGCAGCGAGGAGGAGAGUGAGGACGGGGACGAGGUGAGGCUGCGGGGGGGGGGGGGACACACAGUUUUUUGGGGGGUCACGCUCGCUCGGCCCCCUCCCCUUCUGCGGGGACAGGGCUGCGGGGUGGGCGUCGGGGCGGGCAAAAAAAUGAAAUUAUAAAAUAAGGAAAAAUGAAAUGAAAUACGGAAAAUUGAAAUAAAAUAAGGAAAAAAUGAAAUAAGAAAAAAAUGAAAUGAAAUAAGGAAAAAAUGAAAUAAAAAAGGAAAAAUGAAAUAAAAAAGGAAAAAUGAAAUAAAAAAGGAAAAAUGAAAUAAAUAAUGAAAAAAAUAAAUAAAAAAAAGGAAAAAUGAAGUAAUGAAAAACUGAAAUAAAAAAAGGAAAAACUGAAAUAAAAAAAAGGAAAAAUGAAAUCCAAUCGCGGGGGGGGACCGGG
rnacentral:lncRNA from 1 species